ensembl:rRNA 5S_rRNA 5S ribosomal RNA
GUUUAUAACCAUGCCAUCCUGACCAUACCAAAUCUAUCUGAUCUUGGAAGCUAAGCAGGGUUGGCCCUGGCUCAUACUUGGAUGGGAGAAUGGCACAGGUGACCACUUCAAAUAAGAAGGUCAGGUAAUAAUUAAUU